AAGUCGUAACAAGGUCUCCGUUGGUGAACCAGCGGAGGGAUCAUUACCGAGCUGUUCCCCCCCUCGCGGGGGGACUCCUCCCCAAACCCUUCUGUGAACCUUACCUGUACCGUUGCUUCGGCGGGAACCGCCCCAGGUUUAGCUGCGUGCCCUGGAACCAUGGCGCCCGCCGGGGACCCAAACCAAGAUUCUUUUUACCAUUUCUGUGGCGCAUCUUGCGAAAUGCAAAAUGAUACAAACAAAUCACAACUUUCAACAACGGAUCUCUUGGCUCUG
rnacentral:misc_RNA from 1 species